UACGUAGGGUCCGAGCGUUGUCCGGAAUUAUUGGGCGUAAAGGGCUCGUAGGCGGUUCGUCACGUCGGGAGUGAAAACUCAGGGCUCAACCCUGAGCGUGCUUCCGAUACGGGCGGACUAGAGGUAUGCAGGGGAGAACGGAAUUCCUGGUGUAGCGGUGGAAUGCGCAGAUAUCAGGAGGAACACCGGUGGCGAAGGCGGUUCUCUGGGCAUUACCUGACGCUGAGGAGCGAAAGCAUGGGGAGCGAACAGG
rnacentral:rRNA from 1 species